GACAGAGGGGGCAAGCGUUGCUCGGAAUUACUGGGCGUAAAGGGCGCGUAGGCGGGAUGGCAAGUCGGUCGUGAAAUCCCUCGGCUCAACCGAGGAACGUCGAUCGAUACUGCUGUUCUUGAGGAUUGCAGAGGAGACUGGAAUUCCCGGUGUAGCGGUGAAAUGUGUAGAGAUCGGGAGGAACACCGGUGGCGAAGGCAAUCCCCUGGGCCUGCACUGACGCUCAUGCACGAAAGCGUGGGGAGCAAACAGG
rnacentral:rRNA from 1 species